UUAGUAUCCCUUAUUAUAACAUUGUCAUUUAGUCAUAAGUAUAUUUGAUAAUAGAAGAAACCUGUGUUUUAUUUUAUUGUACCUGAAGAAAGAAGACUGUUAUAGUUAUAAGUAUGUUUAUUGUAUAUAAAACCCUAGUCUUUUACACAUUUUACAAGCUGUAAAUACUUCAUUUUACAAAAUGUGUGAUAAUAUACAAUCAUUGCACCAUGUAGAUAUGAAAUCUUGGAAUGUGUACUCAAAACUGUGUUUGUAAUACAAACUCAAGGCUGGAUGUUGCAUGAAUCUUAACUGCUAGUAGCAUUAUUAUUGUUAUGUCUCAGAGACUAAAACUGUAAAAUGGAAGUGCAUCCCUGUAUAUCAUUGGCAAAAUAUUAUUGUCAAAUCAAAUAAUAGUUUUUUGUAAACCCCUAAUUAAUUUGUUAAUGAAAUAUUCAUUUUCGAGGCUAAAAUUUUUAGAUAUGUAUAAAAAACUAAAUCUGUUUAGAAAAUUACAUUGUCAAUGCUUUUUUAUUGCAUAACACUGCAGUUACAUGUCCAUGAAUAUAAUACUUCUGUUGUACCUUUGUGAAAUGAUAUGAUAAUUUCCAAAGUUAUUAUGAUGGUAAAGUAUGUAGUUUUUUUUUGUUGAAUGUUUGGCAGGGCAAACUCAUAUGCAAAGGCGAAAAAUAAAAGAGUGUACCAAUCUUAACAAAUUUACUGAUUUAAAAAGUUAUAAGUAUAAAACUGUUAUCACUUAUCACGUUUUUGUGAUGUUAUAUUGUUGAAUUUUGAAAGACUGAUUUACAAUUUAUUACAUGUAUAGCGAAUAUAUAAUUUUAUGAAAAUUAUACACCAAAGACUGUGAUAGUACAUGUUUAAUAUA